AUCUUUACCUGACAGGGGAGAUAUCAUGGCCAGGGUAGUGAUCUCAGGAUGAAGGAGGCUAAUUUAUUCCACUCUGAAUCUGCAGACCCUUGUGACUCCCCAAAGUGUAGGAAACUUGAUAUGUAAUUUGUGCUACUGGGAGGAUUGUGUUUAUGUGCUUCUG